GAUGAACGCUGGCGGCGUGCCUAAUACAUGCAAGUCGAGCGAACGGACGAGAAGCUUGCUUCUCUGAUGUUAGCGGCGGACGGGUGAGUAACACGUGGAUAACCUACCUAUAAGACUGGGAUAACUUCGGGAAACCGGAGCUAAUACCGGAUAAUAUUUUGAACCGCAUGGUUCAAAAGUGAAAGACGGUCUUGCUGUCACUUAUAGAUGGAUCCGCGCUGCAUUAGCUAGUUGGUAAGGUAACGGCUUACCAAGGCAACGAUGCAUAGCCGACCUGAGAGGGUGAUCGGCCACACUGGAACUGAGACACGGUCCAGACUCCUACGGGAGGCAGCAGUAGGGAAUCUUCCGCAAUGGGCGAAAGCCUGACGGAGCAACGCCGCGUGAGUGAUGAAGGUCUUCGGAUCGUAAAACUCUGUUAUUAGGGAAGAACAUAUGUGUAAGUAACUGUGCACAUCUUGACGGUACCUAAUCAGAAAGCCACGACUAACUACGUG
rnacentral:rRNA from 1 species